CAGAGGGAGGUUCUCUGGUAGCACUCUGACUGGGACACAGGUUAACAGUUUUCUCAUCAGUAAAAGCAGCAGGGACAAAUGAACAGGUAACUUUGCUGCCCUGUUCACAGGACCUUCUGUUUCACAGAUUUCUUGCAGAAUAUAAAGUUUCUUUCAACCUAAAGCCUUGCUAUUGACAUUGCGGUCUGGAAGCAUGAGCACCACCCGGGAAGUUGUUGGAAAUGCAGAAUUGCGGGUCCCA
rnacentral:lncRNA from 1 species